CUCGUAUGUCUGGUAAUGAAAGAGUACUAGAGACUGCUAGAGAAUAGCUCGGAGACCUAAACCUAGAUCUUAGCAUCCAUGAAGGUUUAUUUUAAAUCAUAGACUCGUGCAAAGGUGAAUCGGCUAAAAACGCAACUCAAAGAUUCAUAGCAGAUUUGGCAGACAUCAAGGUGGAAGGUUUCAAGUGAUGGAGGAUCAUCCUUGGAGCUACAUGUGGGACCCAUCACUAGGUCCAUUCUAGGAGAG